rnacentral:rRNA from 1 species
GAGUUUGAUCAUGGCUCAGGAUGAACGCUGGCGGAGUGCCUAACACAUGCAAGUCGAGCGGCAGCGCGAGUAGUUUACUACUUGGCGGCGAGCGGACGGACGGCUGAGUAACGCGUGGGAACAUGCCCCAAAGUGAGGAAUAACUGCCCGAAAGGGUAGCUAAUGCCGCAUACGAUCUUCGGAUUAAAGGAUUUAUCCGCUUUGGGAGUGGCCUGCGUACGAUUAGAUAGUUGGCGAGGUAAUGGCUCACCAAGUCUACGAUCGUUAACUGGUUUGAGAGGAUGAUCAGUCAGACUGGAACUGAGACACGGUCCAGACUCCUACGGGAGGCAGCAGUGAGGAAUCUUCCACAAUGGACGAAAGUCUGAUGGAGCAACUCCGCGUGCAGGAUGAAGGCCUUCGGGUCGUAAACUGCUUUUAUGAGUGAAGAAUAUGACGGUAACUCAUGAAUAAGGGUCGGCUAACUACGUG